rnacentral:rRNA from 1 species
ACUACGGGUGGCAGCAGUGAGGAAUAUUGGUCAAUGGGCGGAAGCCUGAACCAGCCAAGUAGCGUGCAGGAUGACGGCCCUACGGGUUGUAAACUGCUUUUAUACGGGAAUAACGCGCCUUACGUGUAGGGCUUUGCAUGUACCGUAUGAAUAAGGACCGGCUAAUUCCGUGCCAGCAGCCGCGGGAAUACGGAAGGUCCGGGCGUUAUCCGGAUUUAUUGGGUUUAAAGGGAGCGUAGGCCGCAUGUCAAGCGUGCUGUGAAAUGUCCGGGCUCAACCCGGGCCUUGCAGCGCGAACUGGCGUGCUUGAGUCCGCGGAAAGCAGGCGGAAUUCGUCGUGUAGCGGUGAAAUGCUUAGAUAUGACGAAGAACCCCGAUUGCGAAGGCAGCUUGCUGCAGCGGAACUGACGCUGAUGCUCGAAAGCGCGGGUAUCGAACAGGAUUAGAUACCCCGGUAGUC